CACAUCAACUCUGAUGCUGGAAUAGAGCAUGGCUCAAGUGAAAGUACAGACCUCAGCACCCGCGGCUGGUCCUGGCCUCUCCCCUGGAGUUUCUCCAACGGCCAUGGCCAGCCCAGGAUCCCUGGGUCUGCAGCCCUCCGUCAAUGGCACAGGCCCGGCCCCCACACCCGCCUGCCCUGCUCCUGCAGUCGGAUAUGGGGACGCCCCUGUGUCCGCCACACCGCCAGGUCCACCCCAGGAGAACAUGGCAAACCCUAAAGAGAAAACUCCAAUGUGUUUGGUGAAUGAGUUAGCCCGUUUCAAUAGAAUCCAACCACAGUACAAGCUCCUCAGUGAGAGAGGUCCUGCACAUGCUAAGAUCUUCACGGUGCAGCUGACUCUUGGGGAACAGGUGUGGGAGGCGGAGGGCACCAGCAUUAAAAAAGCCCAGCACUCUACAGCCGCCAAAGCUCUUGCAGAGAGCGUCCUUCCCAGGCCAGUGCCCCGCUCCCCUAAAGCGGAUAUCAACAGUAACCCAGGCAGUAUAACACCCACAGUGGAGCUGAAUGGAUUGGCCAUGAAAAGAGGCGAGCCAGCUAUAUACAGGCCUUUGGAUCCAAAGCCCAUGCCCAACUAUAGAGCUAACUACAACUUCAGAGGGAUGUUCAACCAAAGGUACCAUUAUCCUGUUCCUAAGAUCUUCUACGUGCAGCUGUCUGUAGGGAGUCAUGAGUUUAUUGGCGAGGGGCGCACCCGCCAAGCAGCCAGACACAACGCUGCCAUGAAGGCCCUGCAAGCGCUGCGAAAUGAACCCAUUCCCAACCGGCCACCGCAGACCCCAGAGGAAACAGGGGAGCUUGAGGAAGGCACUGACGCUAGCAAAUCAGAGAUCAGCCUGGUUUAUGAAAUUGCCCUCAAGCGGAACUUGUCUGUCAACUUCGAGGUGUUGAAGGAGAGCGGCCCCCCACAUAUGAAAAGCUUCUUGACCCGAGUCACGGUGGGGGAGUUCUCGGCGGAGGGCGAGGGCAACAGCAAGAAGCUCUCCAAGAAGCGCGCUGCUCUGUCCAUCCUGCAGGACCUAAAGAAGCUACCUUUCAUCCCCACUGUGGAGAAACCCAAGACCCACUACAAGAAACGUACCAAGACCAUCCUCAAGACAGGACCAGAGUAUGGCCAGGGCAUGAACCCGAUCAGCCGCCUGGCACAGAUCCAGCAGGCCAAGAAAGAGAAGGAGCCCGAAUACCUGCUGCUCUCUGAGAGGGGAAUGCCUCGACGUCGGGAGUUCAUCAUGCAGGUGAAAGUAAACAGCGAAGUCGCCACGGGGAUAGGACCCAACAAGAAGGUGGCCAAGCGCAACGCUGCCGAGACGAUGCUGCUUCAGCUGGGAUACAAGGCUUCCACUGUCGCUCAGAACCCCACCGAGAUGGACAACAAAGGCUGGAACGGACAAAAGGCGCCAUUUACUGAAGCGACAAGUAACACCCAGAAAGGCCUUCUCCACCUGAGCCCUGAUGUCUACCAGGAGAUGGAGGCCAGCAGGAAGCAGGGGAGCAGUGCUCAAGGCCCUGGUGGCGGCGGCAGCAGCAGCAGCAGUUCAGUCAAUUACAUAACAUCCAAAGACAUGGGACCUUGCUCUGCCCCGCUGCCACCAGGACACCCUCCAUACUACAGUAGCUCGGCCUCUUCACCCAGUCCAACCGCUACAAUGGCCAGGGAGCUGCUGCUUAAUGGUCAGGCCCCCACAGCUGAUGCCUCCAUUCCCAUAAAGGGGAAGACCCCAGCCCUGACCUGUGGGGUCUCUGUGCAACCUGCACAGCAGCUGGACUACCUGGCUCGCAUUCAGGGAUUCCAGGUGCAGUACAGUGAUGCACAGAGUGGCAAGGAUUUCGUGACGUAUCUGACCCUCUCCCCUGUGCAAAUGACUUUCCACGGCACUGGGAGCACCCUCCAAGCCAGCCAUGAUCAGAGCAGAAGCAGAGUCUGACUGGAUCAGGCCAAGACAACAGGCAUGCUAGGCUGAAGGUUCCUUUUCUUCUACUACUCUGAAGAUUCAGAGAGGGAGCAGAGAACAAGACACAAGUCGGAGCUCGUACGUAAUCCAGACCUGCUGCUAGUUGUUAGGCUGUGGUCGCGGAGGAGACAGAUGUCACUCCGACUGACUUGGAAACAUACAGAGCGAGGGAAACAUAAAGUGGAAAUGUUAACUCAGUAACACUAAAUAAACAGUCGGAGAAGAAGGGGCCAAAGACAACAGAGAGAGAAGGGAAAGUGUCCUGCUGGCAUCAGAUUUCCCAGAGCUGCUCUAAGUGCCUUGAAACAGCUGUCUGAGCAGGGACUGGACCCGGUGGACGGCCCCAUCAAGACCAGUGAACCAUGUGGGAGGGAGGAUGGACAUUAAACAGACUAACUCAGGCACCACCACUCAGGUCUGCAAGGAUUCAAAGGCUGUUGUCUAGGAGCUGACCACCCCGUAUCCCACACUUUGGCGUGCACAAACCUGACAAGUCCCCCAAUGACCACCCCGUCUCCCUAAUAUCCCACAGCGCCCCCCCCCUCACCCCACAAUGGCCACUGUAUCCUGCAAAACCUGCUAAAACAUGCAAUAGGGUGGAUGUGCACCGAGAAAUGACCGACUAAAACACCAUUACCUGAGUCUAUGUGAAGACAACUCUAUCCUAACAUGUUUAUUGAUUAUUUCUGUCAAAAUUUAGAGGACAAAAAAACUAAUUACAUACACACUAAUGAGAUAAAUGCAUGGUACUGUAUGAAAUUAAGGGAAAUCCAAAGUGAUAGACAAUUUUCCCUUUGGAUACAUAAAUGCCUCUUGGUAUGGUUAAAACAAAUAUAUUCAUCAUGCCAUUUUAAAACAAAAUAAACAUUUUAGGGGAGAAACCAACUUGCGUACAGUAGCUUUUUUUUGGAGGGGAUUCUGUUCUUGUUUAUUUUAUUUUUCUUUUGUUAUUUUAUUAAUCUAACAAUGCUUGAGUACUGUAUUUAAAAUUAACCAAUGCCAGUGCUGUGAAAGUUGUAGUUGUUGUCUUCAUAUAUAGUCACCAUAUGACAUAAAAAAGAGUUCAUCUAUCUAAAUGGAUGUGUAUGACUUGCAUAUUCCGGAAAAUAACAGAAAAGUUUUUUUUUUCAUGUGGACAAAAAGGACAAAACUGAUGUUAGCAGUAAUCACGAGAAGUCUCGACCGCACGGGAGGAAAAGCUGCCCCACGCUUCGGCUCCUGCAAGGUCUGCCUAUCACAUUUUAACGUGCCCCCCUCCCCCACACACACUGGCAUAGCAUCACUGGACCAUCAUCUAUCCGCUGACAGAGGCGCGGGGGCCGUCACGGUGGCGCUUCCUCCCCCGGCGUCACCAGUGGCCGCGUUGUGGUGCACGUCUCCGCAGCCAGUGCACCCGUAACCGUGGAGUCCAGAGAGCUGGGAGCCCUCUCCCUUCCAGUGAUUUUGUGUCAGCACGUCGUCCCCUCCCCCUUCCCCCCACAGUUUUGUCGAUCACAUCUACACCCAUUGUGUGUGUUGUAUUGACCUGCAAAGGCAUCAACUGGGUGCUUUUAAUGCCUGCGUUCUGGAGAGCAUCCUUUGAGCAGAGGGGGAGCCUGCGCCUGAUCCACAGGCUCCCUCCCACUAAAAGCCACUUUUGAGAGUCACUUUGUUCACUGACAUUGAGGAUGUGUCUUCUUCUUCGCUGUGUGUGCAUUGUGUAAAGGCUGUUUCCGUUACUGAAAUGCAGUAAAAACACCUCAGUUCAUGUGGAAAAAAAA